GGCAAGGGCACUCUGUGUUACAAGAAAUUAUUGAUAUUGUAAAACAAUUUGUAACCUUGCUAAAUAAAAUAUAGCACAACAUCUU